UUCGCCCUUAGAGUUUGAUCCUGGCUCAAGAUGAACGCUGGCGGCGUGCUUAACACAUGCAAGUCAAACGAAGCACCUUGAUUUGAUUCUUCGGAUGAAGAUCUUGGUGACUGAAUGGGGGACGGGUGAGUAACGCGUGGGUAACCUGCCUCAUACAGGGGGAUAACAGUUAGAAAUGGCUGCUAAUACCGCAUAACCGCACAGAGCGGGAUGGUUCAAGUGUGAAAAACUCCGGUGGUAUAGGAUGGACCCGCGUUGGAUUAGCUUGUUUGGGGGGGGAACGGCCCACCAAGGCGACGAUCCAUAGGCCGGCCUGAAGAGGGUGAACGGCCACAUUGGGACUGAGACACGGCCCAGACUCCUACGGGAGGCAGCAGUGGGGAAUAUUGCACAAUGGGGGAAACCCUGAUGCAGCGACGCCGCGUGAAGGAAGAAGUAUCUCGGUAUGUAAACUUCUAUCAGCAGGGAAGAUAGUGACGGUACCUGAAGAAUAAGCUCCGGCUAACUACGUGCCAGCAGCCGCGGUAAUACGUAGGGAGCAAGCGUUAUCCGGAUUUACUGGGUGUAAAGGGCGCGCAGGCGGACCGGUAAGUUGGAAGUGAAAUCUAUGGGCUUAACCCAUAAACUGCUUUCAAAACUGUCUUUCUUGAGUACUGCAGAGGUAGAGCGGAAUUCCCGGUGUAGCGGUGGAAUGCGUAGAUAUUGGGAGGAACACCAGUGGCGAAGGCGGCUUACUGGGCACCAACUGACGCUGAGGCUCGAAAGUGUGGGUAGCAAACAGGAUUAGAUACCCUGGUAGUCCACACCGUAAACGAUGAUUACUAGGUGUUGGAGGAUUGACCCCUUCAGUACAGCAGUUAACACAAUAAGUAAUCCACCUGGGGAGUACGACCGCAAGGUUGAAACUCAAAGGAAUUGACGGGGGCCCGCACAAGCAGUGGAGUAUGUGGUUUAAUUCGACGCAACGGGAAGAACUUUUCCAAGUCUUGACAUCCCUUGACAGGCAUAGAAAUAUGUUUUCUAUUUGGAGCAAGGAGACAGGUGGUGCAUGGUUGUCGUCAGUUUGUGUCGUGAGAUGUUGGGUUAAGUUCUGCAAUGAGCGCAACCUUUAUGGUCAGUUAGUACGCAAGAGGACUCUGGCCAGACUGCGGUUGACAAAAAGGAGGAAGGUGGGGAGGAUGUCAAAUCAUCAUGCCCUUUAUGACUUGGGUUACACACGUAAUCCAACUGGUGUUAAACAAAGAGAAGCAAGACCAGCGAGGUGGAGCAAAACUCAGAAACAACGUCCCAGUUUGGGUUGCAGGAGGCAACUUGCCUGCAAGAAGUCGGAAUUGCUAGUAAUCGUGGAUCAGCAUGCCACGGUGAAUACGUUCCCGGCCCUUGCACUCACCGCCCGUCA
rnacentral:rRNA from 1 species